AACGAACGCUGGCGGCGUGCUUAACACAUGCAAGUCGAACGAUGAAGCCGGAGCUUGCUCUGGUGAAUUAGUGGCGAACGGGUGAGUAACACGUGAGUAACCUGCCCUUGACUCUGGGAUAACUGCGGGAAACUGUAGCUAAUACCGGAUACGACCCUCGGAGGCAUCUCCUGGGGGUGGAAAGAAUUUCGGUCAAGGAUGGACUCGCGGCCUAUCAGCUGGUUGGUGAGGUAAAGGCUCACCAAGGCGACGACGGGUAGCCGGCCUGAGAGGGUGACCGGCCACACUGGGACAGAGACACGGCGCAGACGCCCAGGGGAGGCAGCAGUGGGGAAUAUUGCACAAUGGGGGCAAGCCGGAUGCAGCAACGCCGCGUGAGGGAUGACGGCCUUCGGGUUGUAAACCUCUUUUAGUAGGGAAGAAGCGAAAGUGACGGUACCUGCAGAAAAAGCACCGGCUAACUACGUGCCAGCCGCCGCCGUAA
rnacentral:rRNA from 1 species